rnacentral:rRNA from 1 species
AUUGAACGCUGGCGGCAGGCCUAACACAUGCAAGUCGAGCGGAUGACGGGAGCUUGCUCCUUGAUUCAGCGGCGGACGGGUGAGUAAUGCCUAGGAAACUGCCUGGUAUUGGGGGACAACGUUGCGAAAGUAACGCUAAUACCGCAUACGUCCUACGGGAGAAAGCAGGGGACCUUCGGGCCUUGCGCUAUCAGAUGAGCCUAGGUCGGAUUAGCUAGUAGGUGAGGUAAUGGCUAACAGAGGCGACGAUCCGUAACUGGUCUGAGAGGAUGAUCAGUCACAAUGGAACUGAGACACGGUCCAGACUCCUACGGGAGGCAGAAGUGGGGAAUAUUGGACAAUGGGCGAAAGCCUGAUCCAGCCAUGCCGCGUGUGUGAAGAAGGUCUUCGGAUUGUAAAGCACUUUAAGUUGGGAGGAAGGGUUGUACGUUAAUACCGUGCAAUUUUGACGUUACCGACAGAAUAAGCACCGGCUAACUCUGUGCCAGCAGCCGCGGUAAAAC